GGAGACUGCAGAGAGUAGAGGGG
rnacentral:piRNA from 1 species